AUGUGGCUCAGCGGUAGAGUGCUUGCCUCACAUGCAUGAGGCCCUGAGUUCGAUCCCUCAGCAU
rnacentral:tRNA from 1 species